GAUGAACGCUGGCGGCGUGCUUAACACAUGCAAGUCGAACGACGGUUUUCUUUCGGGCGGGGCUUAGUGGCGGACGGGUGAGUAACGCGCGGGUAACCUGCCCUGUCCAGGGGGACAACCGCUGGAAACGGCUGCUAAUUCCGCCUAAGCCCUUGGCACUGCAUGGUGCAUAGGGAAAGGGCGCACUCCGGUACAGGAUGGGCCUGCGUCUGAUUAGCCGGUUGGCAGGGUAACGGCCUACCAAGGCGACGCGCAGUAGCCGGUCCGGGAGGACGUACGGCACCAUUGGGACAGGGACACGGCGCAGACUCCGGCGAGAGGCGGCAAUGGGGAAUAAUGCACAACGGGGGAAACACGAAGGCAGCGAGGCCGGGAGAGGGAAGUAUUAGUUAGGAAAGUAAAGCGCUUAAAGCAGGAAGGGAAAGGACGUAACGGGACAAAGAGCCACGGCUAACUAAGGU
rnacentral:rRNA from 1 species